GACAGAGGGUGCAAGCGUUGUUCGGAUUUACUGGGCGUAAAGCGCGUGUAGGCGGCUUGGCAAGUCGGAUGUGAAAGCCCACGGCUCAACCGUGGAAGCGCAUCCGAAACUGCUUCGCUCGAGUCUCGGAGAGGAAGGUGGAAUGCUUGGUGUAGAGGUGAAAUUCGUAGAUAUCAAGCAGAACACCUGCGGCGAAGGCGGCCUUCUGGACGAUGACUGACGCUGAGACGCGAAAGCGUGGGGAGCAAACAGG
rnacentral:rRNA from 1 species